UUUCUGGAAGCUAGCCAGCCCAUUGCGCUUCUCUGGCUCUCCUCGUCGCCUCCGCUCCUGGCCCACCACACUUUCGUCCCCCUCUUCUCGCACCUCCUCCCUCUCUUCUCCUGCUGCAGGCGACAGCGACGGCCUCCUUGCGGCACGCGCCCCCAAGGUGGCCGUCCUCGGCCGUUACGGAGCGGCGUGGAUGAGCCCCACCGGUCGCCGCCGUUGCGCCUUACCCUCGACGCUGCCUUCUCUUUGCAGAUCCGCAUGGCUUGGACGAAACCCUAGGUGCUCGCUGGUCCUCCUCACGCCGCCACACCAGCUGCAGGUACCCCUCGACGGUGUCGUGAUUGGGAAGGAGCAGCCUCAACACCUCCCGUUUCCUCUUAUUUUUGGAUUUUGGUUCUAUCUCUUUGAUUUCUUCCUAUGUUGGCUUGGAUUCCUAGACUUUUCCCUUCUUUGGCCUGUGAUGAAAAUUCCAGACCCAAUUGAUCAACGAUAUCAACUGAUGUUCAUUUUCUUGUGAGGUACUAGGCAUGACCAGCUACUUAUAUUAUGAUCCCUAUAAGCCAGGUCCACGUAUCCUUAAAUAUUUUCAUACGUCUGAUCCCCGUAAUUAGCUGUGCAGAUUAGUUGGCCUAGGAUUUCUUCAAAUCAGAAUCAGCCUUUGUUUACCGAGGAGAUCCUUUUCCAGUUCGGAUAGGGUGCCGACUGCUUUGUGAUGGCGUACGGGGCCCAACCAAUAUAUACUCGGAUCCUGCUUUUUGGAAUCCAUAUCUUUUGCAGUUUAUGAGAGUAACCCGAUUGUGGCCAUGCCUCGAAGCUCCAAGUUAAUGAACAGAUGAUGAUUGGUAUGUUUCUGAGGCCUCUAAAAAUCCUGCCUUCAUUAAAAAAUUCUUAGCUUUUUCAUUGUGAGUUGUCACACAUGAUGGUUGGUAGGCUCUCCACUCCUAUAUCUAUAUUACGACCUAUACACCUGCUUACACAGUAGUAGAUACUUACAUAGUCCCAGUCUCUUUGUUUCAUUCUGUUUCUACAUUGAUACAUGAUUUAUUUAUACAAUGAUGCUAUAUAAAUCGAGUACUUGGAAAAAUAUAGUAGCCAGCACUGAUGAGCUGGUUUUGUGAACUACCAAAGUGGUUGCUCAAUUGUAUUCACGCCUGCAUUCCGUUUCUUUUUUGAAAAUCAGCCUUUUUUACAUUCUCAGAGAAUCACCUUUGUUUAUAUUCAGGUCAAUGUAUAGUUCGCAUUGACCUAGGAAGCAUGGGGAUUACAUGAAAUGGCCGCCAGGGAGUUUUCUAUUUUUCUCGCUUGUUAAACCUCCGGCAUGAAUGCUAGGCAUCCCCUCUUCUUUCUUUUGCCUUUCCUUGUCCUAACAUUUUCAGCAGUUGAUAUUAAUUGGAUCAUUUACAUUGGCGUUACCCUUCUCCAGAAAAAAGCAGUGUUUCCGACCUUUUUUCACAACUCACAUUACCCUCAUACAGGUUAGGCACACAUAAAAGCAAAGAGUCAUUCUCGGAUUAGUUAAAUUCAUAUAGAAUGAUAUUAUGUAUGUAAGGAUGGUGUCCAUGCAUACUGUAUCCUCUAAUUGAAAUGCCCAAAAAUUUGUCACCAUGCUUAAUCCCAUAUGUAAGUUACCUGUUGUUUAGGCUAUAAGGUCAUGAACAUCUGAAGUAACACAACUAUAGGAAUUUUUUUAAUUUAGUCCAAGGCAUCUACAAUUCCCAAUCCGAUGGAUAUUUGUAUUAUCUCCGCUUUCAUUAUGCUUGUUUCUGCAGUUCAUUUUGUUUGUACACUUCACUCACGAAGUAAUGCAGGUAAUUGUUCUUUCACGUUUAAGUUUGACUCCAGCAAAGGAAUACAGUUUGCGUCCUCGUGUUUUCAUGUGCUUCUAGCAAAUUUAAUUUAACGAAAUCAGUCGUCUAUUUUUUUGUGUGCUCAGGUUGUAGUGCACAUCAUUCCUUUACAGAACAAGAGGCUGCAGCUAUAUAUAUGUUCACUUUUGCUACAGCAGACCUUCUGAACUUGUGGUGCCAGAACUGAGCUCAAGGUCCAAAAAUAAUUCAGGAUAUAAACACGACAUACAUAAACAGUCAAAAAAUUUCUUGGAUUACUUCACUGUGGACUCUUCUACAAGCGGUUUUGCUUUCAGAUGCACUUGGAAAUGAAGCAUCAUUGAACGAGGUGGCAUUCUUUGGUUGCUAUAUCUUGAGGCCAUACGCAAUACAUAUUUGUGAAUUAUACUAAAUGUGUCUAUGAAGUGGAUAUGUAUGUUAUUUUUAUUGAUACCAUUUCAUCCAUUCUACUUUCUGUUAUGGGUCUAUUAUGGAAAUAUACUGCUCAAUAUUAGUAGAGGUUCCUUUUCCCUUGCAAACAAAAACCUAUGAUGCCUUUUUUUGCAUGGGUAGUUGGAAUUUAGAGGUCGAUGAUACUUAGCUAUAGUUGUCUUCCUUUUCCUUCUGAUUUUUAUUUUGCUUCGUGUUUGAAAGGGUUCAGAAUUGAAAGCAACAUAGUGUUUCUUGGCUUUUUUUAUUAUUAUUUCAGUUAAUAAAAUGCAGAGACCAGAAACAUUAUUGCCGCAGAUUGGACCAAGCAGUUUGGAUUGAUGGGUGUGCACUUCUAUUUCUGCCCUUCUUCAGUUGGAGGUCUGACCUGGGUGCAUAGGUUGGUUCCAAGCAAUGGUGUCUUAGAAUUGGCACCAUGAUUGCUUCCUGUGCUCCUUAAGUGAAGGUAUAGCCCCUUACUCAGAUUCUUGGCUACCGGCGUGUUAUGUUGUACCACUGGAUCAACAAGGGACGACCUCUCUUUGGCGAGCGAGGUGUGGUGUCUCACCAUUGAACAGGUCUUUUUUUUUCCAGCAAACGGUUGUCGAUUAGAAUUUGGAAACUACCACAGCUACACAGGAUGGCAAAGACAGUCCACCUGCAGCGCUAUCACAGUGCAAACCCAAGAGGUUCGAUUGAACUGCAGCGUGCGAGGGUGCAACCUUUGCAGUGCUAUCACCAAGAUUAAUCCAGCAGCUCCUGCCGAGUGAAACAGCACAACAAGAUAUUGCCAGAUGACAAAACCAUCAUACACGCAGAUUGAAGCUAUCCAUGUAUAAUACGCAUGCUCAUGUGCACAUCAAUACCACUACUUGCAUUGUUCCCUAAUGUAUGCAGCCAUCAAUGGCCAUAAAUUAUACAGCUAAAAUGUUGCUAGACCUAUAAAAUAUAACCAUGUAUGAAGUCUACCUUGAUCAUUCUCAUGUAAUAUAUGUGUGUUGUAGGUCUAAACUUAUUAUGUUUCCAAAAAAUAUGUAUAAACAUGAACCUAUGCCUUUAUGAACCCAAAAUUACUCA